rnacentral:rRNA from 1 species
GACGUAGGUGGCGAACGUUAUCCGGAAUUAUUGGGCGUAAAGGGUGCGUAGGCGGCAUGAUAAGUUAUUGGCGGGAAAUCGAGGCUCAACCUCGUGGAAACUAAUAAUACUGUUUUGCUUGAGUACAGGAGAGGUUAACGGAACUCCGUGUGGAGCGGUAAAAUGUGUAGAUAUAUGGAAGAACAUCAAUAACGGCGAAGGCAGUUAACUAUUCUGUUACUGACGUUGAGGCACGAAAGCGUGGGGAGCAAAACGG